CACGUAGGGGCCAAGCGUUGUCCGGAUUUAUUGGGCGUAAAGAGCUCGUAGGCGGUUGGGUAAGUCGGGUGUGAAAACUCCAGGCUCAACUUGGAGACGCCACCCGAUACUGCUCUGACUUGAGUUCGGUAGGGGAGUGGGGAAUUCCUGGUGUAGCGGUGAAAUGACGCAGAUAUCAGGAGGAACACCGGUGGCGAAGGCGCCACUCUGGGCCGAAACUGACGCUGAGGCGCGAAAGCUAGGGGAGCAAACGGG
rnacentral:rRNA from 1 species